GCAUACUCAUGUGCACACACGUGCACUAAGGCUCCAUGGCAUUGCAUUUUCCUAGAUAAGAAUAGUCAGUGGGGUUACUGGUUAAACAGGUAGUAUUUGCAUUCUCUCCAGGAUAAGAAGGCAACCUCGUCUGUGUGUGAAGCUGCCAGAGGCCACGAGCUGUGUUUGUUUUCCCUGGAGGUUCUCCCAGCUUUUGCCUGCAGUUAUCCUCAACUGAAGAGCGUGUUUGCCCACAGAAGCCUUUGUUUGACAAUCCUUUCUGCUAACCGGGGCCUUAUGAAUUGUGUCAGCAGUGUGCUGAUUGUCUGUUAUCUGCCAGCUGAUAAGUGCCUCCUUUAAUGCACAAGCAAUAAAAUGCUCAACAUGUAGGGCAGAGGAAUGAUCCAUUCAACA